GGCCUGAUAGCACAACUGGUUAGUGCACCUGCAUUCAUUGAAUAUAGUUAGUGAAAUCUUCAGCAGAUGAUCCCUGUUCGAUUCGGGGUCAGGCCA